UAAGUCAUAGUUGGACCCGAAGGGGCUG
rnacentral:piRNA from 1 species